AUACGGAGGACGCGAGCGUUAUCCGGAUUCAUUGGGUUUAAAGGGUGCGCAGGCGGCCGUGCAAGUCAGCGGUGAAAGCCCGGGGCUCAACCCCGGAAGUGCCGUUGAUACUGCGUGGCUGGAAUGCGGUCGAGGCGGGCGGAACGGGGCGUGUAGCGGUGAAAUGCGUAGAUAUGCCACAGAACGCCGAUAGCGGAGGCAGCUCGCCAGGCCUGCAUGGACGCUCGGGCACGAAAGCGUGGGGAUCGAACAGGAUUAGAUACCCUGGUAGUCCACGCCGUAAACGAUGGGCGCUCGUCGUCGGCGACAGACAGUCGGCGGCCAAGCGAAAGCGAUAAGCGCCCCACCUGGGGAGUACGGUCGCAAGGCUGAAACUCAAAUGAAUUGACGGGG
rnacentral:rRNA from 1 species